UGCAACAUAUAUGUGUACACAUAUUGUGUUUUACUUAUACAAUUUUGAGUUUGUCUUUGAACAUUAGAACUUAAAUGUACUAUUGGUGUUAUAUUGUUAAAAUAUUUGUUUCAUUAUUGCCCUUUAAUUUACCAUUUGUCAUAAGCUGUGUAUGAAAUGAGAGGACCAUUUAAAUAAUUGUUUGUACAUACAUAUACAGUCACAUGAUACUUGUGCUAUUUUUAGACUACCAUUUCUAGAUGAAUGUAAAAAAAUGAAUAAUGAAUAAUAACUUCAAAACAUAGCAAAUUUAUUUAACAUUUUUUAAAAACUUUUUUAAAUAUGAACAAGUUUAAGUAAUCUUAAGAUGAAAACAUCUUUUCAGUAAAUUAUAUUAUAGAUUUAGAACACAUAGUGGGGCAUUGGUUAUUUUUUGUGCUGAUGAUACUGUAUGAUUGUAAAUAAUUACAUUGUUAAUUGUGUAUGAAUCUUAAAUUGACAAACAGGAUGGACAAAAUCUGGCUAUUCUGCUUUUAAUAUUAAGUGUAUUUUGGUUGAGAAGUUACAUAAUGAUUCCAUCCAGAGACAAUCUAAUUGUCUAUAAAUAGUUUCCAUAAAAGGCUGACAUGGGAAUUAUUUCUGUAUACUCUAUGACACUCCUGUUGUACAUGCUAAAUCUGAAGACCUGCACAUAUGACUGGAGUAUUGUUAAAUGUUAUUCCCUUUUAUGUUGUGUAAGCCAACUAGAAUCUUGUAUUAUUUCAGGUUAUGUAUGUGCAAGAAAUUAUGUUAUGUGUAGUAACUAUUGUACAAAUAUUUGUGUGCGGACUAAAUAUUUGCUUGUGUGUCACUCAAGUACCUCUUUAUAUGAAUUCUUUUUGAAAUUGGCCAGUCUAUCAACCAGUGGGAAUGUAAGAGAAUACACAUUCAAUCUGCAAUAUGUCAGCAAGUCCUCAUCCAGCUGUUCAGUUCACUGAACAGGCUACAACUGAUAUCAUAAGAUUGUGGCAAUUAUUUCAACAGUAAUGAAUGUCAUCAUUGAAUAAAAAACACCUUUGUUGUGAACAUAAUUGAAAUGCCCCGUGCUUUAAUAUGAUAAUCUUGUAUACGAGAAGGAAACUGCUGAUUAUGUGCCCUGAACGUUGAUAUAGACUGCUCGCAUAUUGAUGCUCGUGCUGCAUUGACAUACAGGAUAGAUAAAUAAUCAGUUUUCUUACAUGAAGAAAGGCCAGGUACUUUACAAUCCAUCUGAAUAACAGACACCGCAAGGACAAUAUGCAAUUCAGGUAGAUACAUCUCCAAGCUGUGGAGGUAAUUUCCUUUCACUGCCAAGAACCAUACAUGAAUUAAAACACAAUACUGUUAAUACGAACUAUCAAUGUGGAUCCACGGUUACCAGUCAAGCCCUCAUGGAUUCAUAGACAGCAAAGCCGUCAGCCAAGUUGACCAGCUAAGCCACACUCAAGCCCCUGACCGGCUGUUACAGACUCGUGACUCACGAAAUGGCAGUGGACACCAAACCAGACUAAAAGACCAAACAUGCACCGUCAGCUCCUGUCCCAACCCAUGUCCCCAAAGUGAAAUCUGAUCAGGAAACGCAUAAGGUUUUAAUCCUAGAUGAACAUAGUCAAUCUGACAAUCAUCGGGGAUACUUGGCGAUGCUCCAUUUCCGGACAGCACUAGUCCUCACAUCCAGGACCCUGAUAGAGCAAGCGCGACAAACUGCAGAGCACUUCAACAACAACAAUCACCUCAGCAGGGUUUGCAACAUGACAAUGGAGGAAACUGAGUGCAACAAUCUCCUGAAAUUGCUAUUGAGUCAAUGAUGAUGCUUAGGGUGACAUCCACAGAGGCGAUGUUAAUACGAGUUAUACAAUCGAAGAUCGGUUUCCCAGAACAGCAGACUCUCUUAACAGCUGAACGACUGGAAACUCUGUCAAGCACUGGGCAGACAUAAGCUGCAGUGGACUCUUGAGUGUGGACUUCAGGACAAACGAGUCAUAGGCGGAGGGAUAUUGUUUUGGCAUUGUCCGUCCUUCCGUCUUUCCGUCCGUCCAGAGCCAUAUCUUGGACGUGCUUUGGCCGAUUUCAUUGAAACUUGGCGCCUUACACUCACCAGUGGGGUCAUCAGGUUCCCUCACUCUAAAACGGUCCCAACAUCUCAAUAGAUCACUUGCAUUCCCAUAAAACAACGCUGGGCUAAUGAACAUUGCAACAACGCCAAAAUAAAGGGUACUCCAGGCCCAAUGUCACCGCGGUACCAAUCCGGGCUCCUACAGCCGCCAUCCAGGUUGAGCAUUGUGGGUCCCAGCAGAAGGAUAAUUAUGCCCAUGGGCUCGCAACUAUCCACGGACUUCUCACAGCAGCAGUGGAACAACAUGGUGGCCAAGCAAGAGGCACCCCAAUACAACAAUCGCCACAGAUCAUUGUCUGGUGACAAUCAGCAACCCACGGUAUCCUAGCAACCAGGCCAUGUUCGCACAGCAACAAUAACAUCAGCAGCAGCAAGACUCGGUUCAGCCAUCUUCAAUGCUUGGACAGCAACCUAAUUGCAGCACUUUAUAAAGACGCCAGCUCAAGCCCAUUUGGUUCCCAGGGCCUUUGAUGUGACCCUCUUCACAUCUAUCCCAGUGCCAUGUGUUGCCCUGGUCUACAGCACCGUAUCUAUGGCAACACUAUUCGCUACAGAAUCCGUGAUGUCAACCCAGUACCCAUUUUGGGGUAUAGCAAUGUGCCCCUAGAUACAAACAUCGUCACAGAUCUCUCUCCAAUCGCUUGAAGCUUUACACAUCACCAAACUGCUUCAUAUUUAGCUACCAGCAGUAUCCAUGCAACAGUAUCCAUGCAACAAACCCAUUAUUGCCCAGCAACAGCUUCAUCAGCAGCAGUGGUCAGGUCAGCCGUCAACCAUGUUUGGGCAGCCUAGGCGCAGUAGUUUGCUGAAACGUCAGCUCAGCAUGGAUAUUUUUUUAACUAAUAUUUUGUUAUGGAGUUAAGGAUGAACAUUGUAAUUUUAAAUGUUGUUUCUUCUUAAUAAUUGUUAUUUUAGAAAGAUAUUUUUCAUUUUGGGUGAAAGGUGAUAUUGGCGGUAUUUCAUCUAAAUAUAGACUCAUAUUUAUGGCCCCUUUCGAAGAAGAGGGGUAUAUUGCUUUGCACAUGUCAGUCGGUCGGUUUGACGGUCCGUCCUCCAGUUGGUUUCCGGAUGAUAACUCAAGAACGCCUAGGAUCAUGAAACUUCAUAGGAACAUUGAUCAUGACUGGCAGAUGACCCCUAUUGAUUUUUAGGUCAAGGUCACGGUGACCUGAAAUAGUAAAAUGGUUUCUGGAUGAUAACUCAAGAGCGCUUAUGCCUAGGAUCAUGAAACUUGAUAGGUAAAUUGAUCAGGACUCGCUGAUGAUCCCUAUUGAUUUUCAGGUCAAAGGUCAAGGUCACGGUGAACCGAAAUAGUAAAAUUAUUUCCGGAUGAUAACUCAAGAACGCUUAUGCCUAGAAUCAUGAAACUUCAUAGGUAGAUUGAUAAUGACUGGCAGAUGACUUUAUAGAUUUUCAGGUCACUAGGUCAAAGGUCACGGUGACCCGAAAUAGUAAAAUGGUUUCCGGAUAAUAACUCAAGAACGCUUAUGCUGAGGAUCAUGAAACUUCAUAGGUACAUUGAUCAUGACUCGCAGAUGACCCCUAUUGAUUUUCAUGUCACUAGUUCAAAGGUCAAGGUCAUGGUGACCCGAAAUAGUUACAUGGCUUCCGGAUGAUUUCUGAAGAACGCUUAUGCCUAGGAUCAUGAAACUUGAUAGGUAGAUUGAUCAUGACUCGCAGAUGACCCCUAUUGAUAUUCAGGUCACUAGGUCAAAGGUCAAGAUCACAGUGACAAAAAACAUAUGCACACAAAGGCUGUCACUACAAUGGAGAGCCCAUAUGGGGGGCAUGCAUGUUUUACAAACAGCCCUUGUUAACCAAUAAAUCACUCUCUUUAUUCAUUUAAGAAACAACAAUAUAUUGAUACAGGUACUUUGAAAGCAAUACAUAAAGGCAAGAAUUAUAAAGCAUUAUAACUAAUGAAAUAAGUAAUGCAACAUUAAAAAUAAGAAUUUUGUAAAAAAAAUAAACUUAUUAUGAAAAAAGUGCAUUGUGAAACAAAACUUACUAGUCUAAUUAAUGUAUUUAAAUUUGCUAGUAUGUAUUUGUGAACACUUUAACAAAUAUGUUAUGUUGUGCAAUAUAUUAACACAUAAAUAUUUCACCUUGCCUCUCUUCUACCAAGGUUGACUCACACCGCUCAGAGCAGAUCAGCGGGCUUUCAUGUGGCAGCACAACAAAUCAAAGAGAUCCAUGCGAGGUCAGCCCUCUCAACAGUGCCAUACCCAUGACGAUGAAGUCCUCCAACUCGCCCCAGUACUCACCUUGGUGUCAGGGAAAGGUUCAAGGUCACAUGGGCUUUGGUGACCUUUGCAAGAUUGCAUGUUGGACUGGAGUGAUGAGACAUUUUCCAUUUCAAUUAAGAUUGCAUUGCAAUUAUUUUCUCUUUAAUCAAUACUAAAAAUGAUUGUUAUUACGAAAGGAAUACUUAUGCGUUCUAUUGAUAACCGUCUCCAAACAUAUUAACCUGAGAUUGAUGUUGGACCCUUGGAUAUUUCGUGUUUAUUUAGUGUUGACAUUAAUGGAGUUUUUAGACAAAACUGGAAUGUUAGCGCAUUUCAUAUCCCAUCCUAUAUCGCCAAAUUGAUGGUUUGACUUUUAGAUAUUUGGAAAUGAGGAGGUGAAAAAGAAACAAACACUGUUACAUGUCAGUUUUAAUUCACCCAAAGUAUUUUUUAUUUAACCAACAGCCCCAUGAUCAUCAUGACCUUGCUUGUUCAUUGCCCUCAGACCCUUUGUUAAAAAAACAAUCAAAAUGACUAAGUGAAGUUAACAACAAUGCAUCUUCCUUUUUUUCAGACACUAAUCAACGAAAUUAAACCGGCCAAUUAGAAAAACAUCCUGUUGCAUCAGUUAGUUAUACCUCGGAAGAUCAGUUAUGAAUAAAAUUUAAACACAUGCUACUUUCUAAGAUCCUGUAUUGGUCGUGUUAUAGCCUUGCCUUCUGUUGUGAACAAUAACUAUAAUUGAAGAUCUCAUCUUGGAAUUGUGGGAUGGGUCGGAAACGAGUGGCAUAGUUUAAAAUAAAAUUGCAGAAUGACAAAGCAUACCAAGUCACGUGGCCAGCCAUAAAGUCGUGUGGCAUGUCACAUUGUGGAAUGUGACCAGCGAAUACAUUUCAUGUAGUAUGGGCAUUAUAAUGCUGUCAAUUAUUUGAUAUAUAUGUUUUUAACCAGGUUUUCCGAAGGAAAAAACUGGUUAUUAGAUUGGCGAAUGCGGGCGGGCUGGCUGGCUGGCUGGCUGGCGGGCUGGCGGAAUAAGCUUGUCCGGGCCAUAACUAUGUCGUUCAUUGUCAGAUUUUAAAAUCAUUUGGCACAUUUGUUCACCAUCAUUGGACGGUGUGUCGCGCGAAAUAAUUACGUCGAUAUCUCCAAGGUCAAGGUCACACUUUGAGUUCAAAGGUCAAAAAUGACCAUAAAUGAGCUUGUCCGAGCCAUAACUAUGUCGUUCAUCGUCAGAUUUUAAAAUCAUUUGGCACAUUUGUUCACCAUCAUUGGACGGUGUGUCGCGCGAAAUAAUUACGUCGAUAUCUCCAAGGUCAAGGUCACACUUUGAGUUCAAAGGUCAAAAAUGGCCAUAAAUGAGCUUGUCCUGGCCAUAACUAUGUCAUUCAUUGUGAGAUUUUAAAAUCAUUUGGCACAUUUGUUCACCAUCAUGGGACGGUGUGUCCCACGAAAGAAUCACGUCAAUAUCUCCAAUGUCAAGGUCGCCACGACUAAAAAUAGAUUUUAAAAAAAAAAAAACUUACAAAGGGGGUCAAUUUUUUUUGGUCAUUUCAAAAGUUCAGUUUGAGUUUUCUCCCUUUAUCAGAUUUUUUUUUCACAAUGAAAACCUGGUUUUGUGACAAUUUUGUCCCUUGUUGUGUAAUGAAGUCAAAAUUGGUAAUACAAAUUAAGUGAAUGUUACUUGUUAAAAGCAGUAAUAUAAAGAAUUAUUUUAAGCCAAAAUGAAGUAAGUCUUAGUUACAUGUAUUACUUAAUAUUCUGAAUUAUUACUCGAGAUUUUGGAAAAACUUAGAAUUAAGAGUUUGCAUACGCUGACUUUAUGCUUAAGCAAAGCUGUUUAAUUAAUACUAGUAACUUGUACAAAAUGUCAUAUUUAUUGUCUUUUUUUCAUUUAAUAAAACAUAUCUCAGUAUUGUUUUAUCAGUAAUAUAGCUAGACAUGCUAGUUUUUUUAAAGAAAGAUUAAACAUUUUGACACUUCCAUUUUGAUCUUUCUGUAUUUCCGUCUGUAUACAAUACUUGUUACUUUGCUUAGAGGAGUCAGUAUUUUAUCAAGAAUCGUGUGUAGUCUCGUAAAAUUAAAAAAGCAAAAUAUUAAUUUAUUACCACAAACUUGUUUUAUCUUCGGUAAAUUGUAAAUUCUGUAUUGACAAUUGGUUUUAUUAUUAAAUAUUAGCACAAAUGUAUCAUAUUUUAAAAGCUGUAUACAUGUUCAAAACGCUGAUAAUAGGCCCGAAAAGCCUAAGUUGUCAUCAUUUAAAGAAAGAUUGUUUGAAAUGAAUAAAAUUUGAAAGGUUAUCUUAACUAAAAUUGCUAUGGUUUGUUUAAGGAUAUGAAAAGACUAUAAUUCUAUGGAAUGCUUUCAAUGAAUUAAUUUAUAAUGAUGAGAUUAUUCGUGAAUACUAACCAACGUUAUAAGUGUUAAUAGCUAAUGGUGGAUCACACACUUAUUACUACCAUGCUCAUAUCUAGUGUUGACGUAUGUAUUCGGACAUAAUAGUUCAUGAUACUUUGUAAACACUGUGCAGGCUCUAAUAGACUAAUAAAAACCAGAUAUUAAUGUGCGUAAAUGAGUAUAAUAACUUGACCAAGAUAUAUAUUUAUAUAUAUUUAUUUAUUUAUGCUUUUGUUGGUAUAUUACAAAAUACAUACAUAGACGGUGUAAAUAAUUUAUGUUUUGUUUCAAUUUGUGGAACCCCCUGUUUGAUGUUUAACGUGAAUCCUUCAGGUGCAAGACAAUAAAAAUAACACUGUUUUUGCAAAUGCUCAUAUGUAACUUGUAAGAUUGUAUAGCUAUAUCAAAACAAAAGAUAUAUUAUGUUAUAGAAACACAUUGUUUUAUACGAUACGUUUUACCUAUCCAAUUCAAAUGUAAAAAUAUACUGACAAUAUUUUUGAAAUGUAGGAAAUCAAGUCGAAAAAUAUUAAUAUGUGGGAAUUUGAAAAACAAUAACAUAUCAAGGGAGAGCAAUGUGAUAUGCUUGAAAUUGUCAAUAACUGCAAUUUUCAUCAUGCUUAUUUAUAAGUUUAGGUUCAAUUGAAUUCUCAUUUCUCCAAAAACUUGUGUGUAUUUGUUAUAACAAAAUUCAUAUUUUAUGAAAUUUGUAAGAAAUCAAUUUGAUAGAAUGACAAUAGAGUCUUGAAUUAUUUUUGUAAUUCUGACUACUAUUAAUGCAUGGACUGCACAAUAUUUUAUUUUAUACUUGACAUAUAACUGACGCUUUAAAAGUUUUACACAAAUCUUAAAGCCAGAUUUCCCCAUUAAAUCUGAUUGUUUGUAUUCAAACUUGAUUUCAAAUCAAAUGUUUUGUUUCUGUUGUUCAACAAUUAAAUAACCUUUGUGUAUGUUCAUCUUGUUUGAAUAACAUAUUGAAUUGAUAUUUACAGUGAGAAGAACACUCUUAUUUUAUUUUAUUUUUAUCAUUGUUUAGCUGAAAUAAAAUGGUAACCAUACAAGUGUACACAUUAUGAGUAUUGGGCUGUAUUGGUAUGAUUAAUUCGUUUGUUCGACCAACACCAACGUGACAAUUUGCUUUGGUAAGGCUCUGUUAUAUAAAUAAAAUUCUAUGACGACGUCUCCAAGGUCUUUAUGAAGAGCUUGUGUAACACAUCAUGAUCAUGUGCUUAUCAAUUGAUUGCAUCAUUUUGUCUGACGUGCCUCAAUAUCUUCUAAAUCUAAACAUUACUGUUAAUUUAAUUUUAAUUAUUCAUGUUUCGAUAUUUCUCUAAACUGUACAAAUAUACUUGUUAAAAUAACUAUAUCAUUAUUUUACUGUCAGUGUAAUUAAAUUGAAUAUUUUUUAACCAGGUUUUUAACCAGGUUUUCCGAAGGAAAAAACUGGUUAUUAGAUUGGCGAAUGCGGGCGGGCUGGCUGGCUGGCUGGCGGGCUGGCUGGCGGGCGGGCGGAACAAGCUUGUCCGGGCCAUAACUAUGUCGUUCAUUGUCAGAUUUUAAAAUCAUUUGGCACAUUUGUUCACCAUCAUUGGACGGUGUGUCGCGCGAAAUAAUUACGUCGAUAUCUCCAAGGUCAAGGUCACACUUUGAGUUCAAAGGUCAAAAAUGGCCAUAAAUGAGCUUGUCCGAGCCAUAACUAUGUCGUUCAUUGUCAGAUUUUAAAAUCAUUUGGCACAUUUGUUCACCAUCAUUGGACGGUGUGUCGCGCAAAAUAAUUACGUCGAUUUCUCCAAGGUCAAGGUCACACUUUGAGUUCAAAGGUCAAAAAUGGCCAUAAAUGUCCCUUGAGAUAUAACCUUCAUAUUUGGUAUGCAUGUGUAUAUGGACAACGCCUUUCCAUACGCACACAAAUUUUGACCGUCCGUCCGUGUGUCCGUCCGAAAACUUUAACGUUGCUCAUAACUUUAGCAAUAUUGAAGAUAGCAACUUGAUAUUUGCCAUGCAUGUGUAUCUUAUGAAGCUGCACAUUUUUAGUGGUGAAAGGUCAAGGUCAUCCUUCAUGGUCAAAGGUCAAAAAAAUAAUUCAUGUGCAUAUCUCCAAUGUCAAGGUCGCCACGACUAAAAAUAGAUUUAUUUUUAAACAAACUUACCAAGGGGGUUAAUUUUCUUUGUUCAUUUCAAAAGUUCAGUUUGAGUUGUCUCUCUUUAUCAGAUUUUUUUUCACAAUGAAAACCUGGUUUUGUGACAAUUGUGUCCCUUGUUUUAUAGUUUUUCAAUAACUGUAUUGCUUUUUUAAGACGCAAAUUAUACUAAUCAAUACCACUACUAUAUUCAGUGGUUUAUUUGUAGAGGGAUGUACUAAUAAUGUGUAUGUAUAUAUGUACACUUGUUGAACCAAGUUUGUUGUUCCCCUGUCGUUGAUGUACAUAGCUAUCCCUGCAGUGGAAAUAAUGUUGUAUGUUGACAAUGUGUUGAUACCAAAAUUAAAAAAAUCAUAUU